rnacentral:rRNA from 1 species
GACGAACGCUGGCGGCGUGCCUAAUACAUGCAAGUCGAGCGAAUCAAUGGGAGCUUGCUCCCUGAGAUUAGCGGCGGACGGGUGAGUAACACGUGGGUAACCUGCCUGUAAGACUGGGAUAACUUCGGGAAACCGGAGCUAAUACCGGAUACGUUCUUUUCUCGCAUGAGAAGAGAUGGAAAGAUGGCUUCGGCUAUCACUUACAGAUGGACCCGCGGCGCAUUAGCUAGUUGGUGAGGUAACGGCUCACCAAGGCGACGAUGCGUAGCCGACCUGAGAGGGUGAUCGGCCACACUGGGACUGAGACACGGCCCAGACUCCUACAGGAGGCAGCAGUAGGGAAUCUUCCGCAAUGGACGAAAGUCUGGCGGAGCAACGCCGCGUGAGCGAAGAAGGCCUUCGGGUCGUAAAGCUCUGUUGUUAGGGAAGAACAAGUACAAGAGUAACUGCUUGUACCUUGACGGUGCCUAACCAGAAAGCCACGGCUAACUACGUGCCAGCCGCCGCAGUAA